rnacentral:rRNA from 1 species
UACGUAGGGUGCAAGCGUUGUCCGGAAUUAUUGGGCGUAAAGCGCGCGUAGGCGGGUUGGUAAGUCCGCUGUGAAAGCCCGGAGCUCAACUCCGGAGGGUCGGUGGAUACUGCCAGUCUUGAAGGUGCUAGGGGGAGAUGGAAUUACCGGUGUAGCGGUGAAAUGCGUAGAUAUCGGUAGGAACACCAGUGGCGAAGGCGGUCUCCUGGGGCAUUCUUGACGCUGAGGCGCGAAAGCUGGGGGGAGCAAACGGG